CCUACGGGGGGCAGCAGUGGGGAAUAUUGGACAAUGGGGGCAACCCUGAUCCAGCCAUGCCGCGUGUGUGAAGAAGGCCCUCGGGUUGUAAAGCACUUUCAGUGAGGAAGAACGCCUGGUGGUUAAUACCCAUCAGGAAAGACAUCACUCACAGAAGAAGCACCGGCUAACUCCGUGCCAGCAGCCGCGGUAAUACGGAGGGUGCGAGCGUUAUCGGAAUUACUGGGCGUAAAGCGCGCGUAGGUGGCUUGAUAAGCCGGUUGUGAAAGCCCCGGGCUCAACCUGGGAACGGCAUCCGGAACUGUCAAGCUAGAGUGCAGGAGAGGAAGGUAGAAUUCCCGGUGUAGCGGUGAAAUGCGUAGAGAUCGGGAGGAAUACCAGUGGCGAAGGCGGCCUUCUGGACUGACACUGACACUGAGGUGCGAAAGCGUGGGUAGCAAACAGGAUUAGAUACCCUUGUAGUC
rnacentral:rRNA from 1 species